UGUAAAAUGAGGAGGUUAGAGGAACUAAAUAACUCCUGUGACACUUUCCGGUUCUUAAAGUUCUAUGAUUUCU
rnacentral:snoRNA from 1 species